UACGGAGGAUGCAAGCGUUAUCCGGAAUGAUUGGGCGUAAAGCGUCCGCAGGUGGCUGUGUAAGUCUGCUGUUAAAGAGUCUAGCUCAACUAGAUAAAGGCAGUGGAAACUACACGGCUAGAGUGCGUUCGGGGCAGAGGGAAUUCCUGGUGUAGCGGUGAAAUGCGUAGAUAUCGAGAGGAACACCUGCGGCGAAGGCGGGUUGCUGGGCUGACACUGACGCUGAUGCGCGAAAGCCAGGGGAGCGAACGGG
rnacentral:rRNA from 1 species